CCUGGCUCACGAUGAACGCUGGCGGCGCGCCUAACACAUGCAAGUCGAACGAGAGAUGAGGAGCUUGCUCUUCAAAUCGAGUGGCGAACGGGUGAGUAACGCGUGAGGAACCUGCCUCAAAGAGGGGGACAACAGUUGGAAACGACUGCUAAUACCGCAUAAGCCCACGGCUCGGCAUCGAGCAGAGGGAAAAGGAGCAAUCCGCUUUGAGAUGGCCUCGCGUCCGAUUAGCUAGUUGGUGAGGUAACGGCCCACCAAGGCGACGAUCGGUAGCCGGACUGAGAGGUUGAACGGCCACAUUGGGACUGAGACACGGCCCAGACUCCUACGGGAGGCAGCAGUGGGGAAUAUUGCACAAUGGGGGAAACCCUGAUGCAGCGACGCCGCGUGGAGGAAGAAGGUCUUCGGAUUGUAAACUCCUGUUGUUGAGGAAGAUAAUGACGGUACUCAACAAGGAAGUGACGGCUAACUACGUGCCAGCAGCCGCGGUAAAACGUAGGUCACAAGCGUUGUCCGGAAUUACUGGGUGUAAAGGGAGCGCAGGCGGGAGAACAAGUUGGAAGUGAAAUCCAUGGGCUCAACCCAUGAACUGCUUUCAAAACUGUUUUUCUUGAGUAGUGCAGAGGUAGGCGGAAUUCCCGGUGUAGCGGUGGAAUGCGUAGAUAUCGGGAGGAACACCAGUGGCGAAGGCGGCCUACUGGGCACCAACUGACGCUGAGGCUCGAAAGUGUGGGUAGCAAACAGGAUUAGAUACCCUGGUAGUCCACACCGUAAACGAUGAUUACUAGGUGUUGGAGGAUUGACCCCUUCAGUGCCGCAGUUAACACAAUAAGUAAUCCACCUGGGGAGUACGACCGCAAGGUUGAAACUCAAAGGAAUUGACGGGGGCCCGCACAAGCAGUGGAGUAUGUGGUUUAAUUCGACGCAACGCGAAGAACCUUACCAAGUCUUGACAUCCCUUGACGAUGCUGGAAACAGUAUUUCUCUUCGGAGCAAGGAGACAGGUGGUGCAUGGUUGUCGUCAGCUCGUGUCGUGAGAUGUUGGGUUAAGUCCCGCAACGAGCGCAACCCUUAUGGUCAGUUACUACGCAAGAGGACUCUGGCCAGACUGCCGUUGACAAAACGGAGGAAGGUGGGGAUGACGUCAAAUCAUCAUGCCCUUUAUGACUUGGGCUACACACGUACUACAAUGGCGUUAAACAAAGAGAAGCAAGACCGCGAGGUGGAGCAAAACUCAGAAACAACGUCCCAGUUCGGACUGCAGGCUGCAACUCGCCUGCACGAAGUCGGAAUUGCUAGUAAUCGUGGAUCAGCAUGCCACGGUGAAUACGUUCCCGGGCCUUGUACACACCGCCCG
rnacentral:rRNA from 1 species